GCCGCUGUGGUGGAAUCGGCAGACACAAGGGACUUAAAAUCCCUCGGAGUAAAAUCCGUACCGGUUCAAGUCCGGUCAGCGGCA
rnacentral:tRNA from 1 species